rnacentral:rRNA from 1 species
ACGGGUGAGUAACACGUGAGUAACCUGUCCUGGUCUUUGGGAUAACCGCCUGAAAGGGUGGCUAAUACCGAAUGUUCCCGCGUUGCCGCAUGGUGGUGUGGGGAAAGUUUUUUCGGACUGGGGUGGGCUCGCGGCCUAUCAGCUUGUUGGUGGGGUGAUGGCUUACCAAGGCUUUGACGGGUAGCCGGCCUGAGAGGGCGACCGGCCACACUGGGACUGAGACACGGCCCAGACUCCUACGGGAGGCAGCAGUGGGGAAUAUUGCACAAUGGACGCAAGUCUGAUGCAGCGACGCCGCGUGAGGGAUGACGGCCUUCGGGUUGUAAACCUCUUUCGCCAGGGACGAAGUGCCCGUGAGGGUUUGACGGUACCUGGAGAAGAAGCGCCGGCCAACUACGUGCCAGCAGCCGCGGUAAGACGUAGGGCGCAAGCGUUGUCCGGGUUUAUUGGGCGUAAGGAGCUCGUAGGCGGUUCAUUGCGUCGUCGGUGAAAUUCCACAGCUCAACUGUGGUAUUGCCGUCGAUACGGGUGGGCUGGAGUUCGGUAGGGGAGACUGGAAUUCCUGGUGUAGCGGUGAAAUGCGCAG